rnacentral:rRNA from 1 species
UACGGAGGGUGCAAGCGUUAUCCGGAUUCACUGGGUUUAAAGGGUGCGUAGGUGGGUAGGCAAGUCAGUGGUGAAAUCUCCGAGCUUAACUCGGAAACUGCCGUUGAUACUAUUUGUCUUGAAUAUUGUGGAGGUAAGCGGAAUAUGUCAUGUAGCGGUGAAAUGCUUAGAUAUGACAUAGAACACCAAUUGCGAAGGCAGCUUACUACACAACGAUUGACGCUGAGGCACGAAAGCGUGGGGAUCAAACAGG